rnacentral:rRNA from 1 species
ACGCUCGACACCUACGGAAGGCAGCAGUCGGGAAUAUUGCGCAAUGGAGGAAACUCUGACGCAGUGACGCCGCGUAUGGGAAGAAGGUUUUCGGAUUGUAAACCAUUUUAGACAGGGAAGAAAAAAGACAGUACCUGUAGAAUAAGCUCCGGCUAACUACGUGCUAGCAGCCGCGGUAAUCUGAGCGGGCUGGCAAGGC